rnacentral:rRNA from 1 species
GAUGAACGCUAGCUACAGGCUUAACACAUGCAAGUCGAGGGGCAUCAGGGUGCAGCAAUGCACCGCUGGCGACCGGCGCACGGGUGAGUAACACGUAUCCAACCUUCCCUUUACUCGGGUAUAGGCUUUCGAAAGAAAGAUUAAUCCCCGAUACGAUAACAGUUUCGCAUGUUUCUGCUAUGAAAGGUUUUUUCCGGUUUUGGAUGGGGAUGCGUUCCAUUAGCUUGUUGGGGAGGUAACGGCUUCCCAAGGCUUCGAUGGAUAGGGGUUCUGAGAGGAAGGUCCCCCACACUGGUACUGAGACACGGACCAGACUCCUACGGGAGGCAGCAGUGAGGAAUAUUGGUCAAUGGGCGGAAGCCUGAACCAGCCAAGUAGCGUGAGGGAUGACUGCCCUACGGGUUGUAAACCUCUUUUAUACGGGACUAACAGGCACUACGCGUAGUGUUUUUGCAUGUACCGUUUGAAUAAGCAUCGGCUAACUCCGUGCCAGCAGCCGCGGUAAUACGGAGGAUGCGAGCGUUAUCCGGAUUUAUUGGGUUUAAAGGGUGCGUAGGCUGGUUUUUAAGUCAGCUGUGAAAGUUCGGGGCUUAACCUUGGAAUUGCAGUUGAUACUGGGGACCUUGAGUACAGAAUAGGCAGGCGGAAUUCGUGGUGUAGCGGUGAAAUGCUUAGAUAUCACGAAGAACUCCUAUUGCGAAGGCAGCUUGCUGGGGUGUUACUGACGCUGAUGCACGAAAGUGUGGGUAUCAAACAGGAUUAGAUACCCUGGUAGUCCACACUGUAAACGCUGAAUACUCGCUGUCGGCGAUAUACUGUCGGCGGCUUCGCGAAAGCAUUAAGUAUUCCACCUGGGGAGUACGCCGGCAACGGUGAAACUCAAAGGAAUUGACGGGGGCCCGCACAAGCGGAGGAACAUGUGGUUUAAUUCGAUGAUACGCGAGGAACCUUACCCGGGCUUGAAUUGCACUCCAAUGGCAUUGAAAGAUGUCCGCCGCAAGGGGAGUGUGAAGGUGCUGCAUGGUUGUCGUCAGCUCGUGCCGUGAGGUGUCGGCUUAAGUGCCAUAACGAGCGCAACCCUUACCGCCAGUUGCCAUCAGGUAAUGCUGGGGACUCUGGCGGGACUGCCGUCGUAAGAUGUGAGGAAGGUGGGGAUGACGUCAAAUCAGCACGGCCCUUACGUCCGGGGCUACACACGUGUUACAAUGGGGGGUACAACGGGCUGCUACACAGCGAUGUGAUGCCAAUCUUUAAAACCCCUCUCAGUUCGGAUCGAAGUCUGCAACCCGACUUCGUGAAGCUGGAUUCGCUAGUAAUCGCGCAUCAGCCACGGCGCGGUGAAUACGUUCCCGGGCCUUGUACACACCGCCCGUCAAGCCAUGGGAGCCGGGGGUACCUGAAGUACGUUACCCGUUUGGGAUCGUCCUAGGGUAAAACUGGUGAUUGGGGCU